rnacentral:lncRNA from 1 species
UAAGUAUCUGUAAUUUACCCUCUAGCAAUACAAAUGAGAACUUAAACCUCAAUGAAUUCAAUAAAUGAAACAUUUUCAGAACACUUACUUAAAAUCAGGUCUACUUUUUAAUCAGUCAUGUUUUAAGUGAAUGCUUAUUAAUAGAGUAUUAAUAAAACAUGCUUAUGGAAUGAGAUUUCAAGAAAGCGGUGAAAUGAAUAAAAGACAAAGAAAGUGGAAAGAGCUAAUGCAUAAUUUUUAACUUUCAAAAAACAACUUAGUUUUAGUUACAUAUUUAUUUCAAAUUAAACAGUAGAUUUUAAAUCUUUUUUUUACAGUUAUAUAUAAAGAAAAAACACUACAAGAUAAUAUUGCCUGUGAAUUCAUGACCCUUUUACACGGCCCAAGUUCCCUCUGCUUUUGACAUUCAAACUAAAAUAUUAAUCUCAUUUUUUUCCUUUAAAUAAUUUCUGCCUGACUUCUAUCACUACCUAGGGGGAUGAAGCUAUAAGGUUUUAUUUUUAAAGAAUGC